rnacentral:rRNA from 1 species
GAUAAACGCUGGCGGCGCACAUAAGACAUGCCAGUUGAACGGACUUAAUCGAAAUAUUUGUAUUUUGCAGCGGUUAGUGGCGGACUGGUGAGUAACGCGUAAGGAACCUGCCUAUUAGAGGGGAAUAACAGUGAGAAAUCAUUGCUAAUACCGCAUAUGCCAUAGAUAUCACAUGAUAACAGGUGGCAAGGAGCAAUCCGCUAAUAGAUGGCCUUGCGUCUGAUUAGAUAGUUGGUGGGGUAACGGCCUACCAAGUCGACGAUCAGUAGCCGGACUGGGAGGCUGACCGGCCACAUUGGGACUGAGGGACGGCCCAGACACCUACGGGAGGCGGCAGGAGGGAAGAUUGCGCAAUGGAGGAAACUCUGACGCAGGGACGGCGCGUAAAGGAAGAAGGUUUUCGGAUUGUAAACUAUUGUCGUUAGGGAAGAGAAAGGACAGUACCUAAGGAGGAAGCUCCGGCUAACUACGUG